UUCAGAUGGCUGGAAGGGAACCUCAGACUUACCAAAAUGAUAGCCAGCAGGAAGGACUUCGCUGUCAGAAACGUGGACUUAAGAAUUUGAAAGGUUGACCUGAAUUGGCUGCCAGUUUCCUACCAAGCCACUCUACUGAACAGGACAGAGGGAAAAAACACAACAAAAUGUUCCUGAGUUGAGGCUCAACAUCACUCCCAAAAAUUCUCUACCUCCUCCCCCUGAGCAGUCCAAGGCAAUGGGGAAUGGGAUUUGUAGCUUUUGUAAUCCUUCAAGUCUGCUCCUCCUCCUUCAAGCUCUUCCUCUGCUCCAGAAUAUGGUCCUUCACAAAAUUCUCCUACAUGGAUCCCUCCCGGAGGCUACAGUUCUUCACAUAGUGCUCCAGUGAGGUUCCCUUCUUUGGAAUGCAUUUCUUCUGGAAAAGACUCCUUCCAUGUGGAUCCCUCAUAGGACUGAACACCAGGGAUGUCCACACAGUGUUGCUUCCUGCAGGGCACAUCCACCUGCUCUGGCAUGGGGUCAUCUGCAGGCUGUAGCACGGAUAUCUGUUCCAUGGCAUGGUCUUCUCCACAAACUGUAGGGAAACCUUUGCCUGGAGCACCUCCUCUCCCUCCUUCUUCAUUGACCUUGGUGUCUGCAGAGUUCCUUCUAUGAAAAUUUAGAAAUCAAUCACACACAAGGUGAUUCUAGAUGUUGUCCUCCUGCUUAGCACCACUAAUAUCUAUUAUUCCUCAUCCAACAAUUUCCCAGUUUUGGGGAUGUUCAGAACUUCUUCAAAUGAUCACAGAGUUCAGUUAUUU